CACCAGGAGCUUCACAAGCCUUUUUAUGCGGUCAGUCCAUACGUAUUACAACUACAAUAUUAAGAUUGCCGCUUAUUCUGUUGAUUAUUUCGUUAUCCACUAAAAAAAUUUCCCAAGAAAAUCUGAAUUUGCCAUGAAAGUUCUGGUGCUAGCCCCUUCUCUAUAUAAGGCUUUUUCUCCUCUCUCUCUUCGCAAUCCUUUCUUGUUUCCAUACGCUUCUUCAUCUAUUUUCACCCUUUCCAAGCAUCUCCAUUUCAAUCCCAUGGCUGCUUGUGUUGACACUCCUAGAACGGACACCUCUCAUCUUUCUCGCGAUCCAAACAAGUCUCAAGCGGAUGAUAACUUUUACAAUUAUGCGAAAUUUUGUCAACCCAGUUUCUCUGAUCGUGUUUCUGGCUUACCCUUUACCAAGAAUCAUAUGAAAACCAUGCAUACGCAGUCUGUUGUUGAAGAUCUCCACCACGAAUACGAUGAUAGAGAAGAUCCAUGGCUCAAAAUGCAGGAGGAAGCCAGGUUAGAUGUUGAGCAGGAACCAAUUCUAUCCAGCUACUACUAUACCUCCAUUUUGUCUCAGAAGACACUAGAAAGGGCGUUGGCGAAUCAUCUCGCAAUCAAGUUGAGCAAUUCUAGCCUUCCUAGUAGUACUUUGUUCGAUAUUUUUGUAGGGGUUCUUGAAGAGAAUCGAGACAUCAUUAGUGCGGUGAAGGAGGAUUUGAUAGCUGUGAAGGAAAGAGAUCCGGCGUGCAUAAGCUACGUGCACUGUUUCUUGAAUUUCAAGGGGUUUCUGGCGUGCCAAGCCCAUAGAGUAGCGCAUAAAUUAUGGACCCAAGGUAGAAAUGUUUUAGCUAUAUUGAUACAAAACAGAGUAUCUGAGGCUUUUGCAGUCGAUAUUCAUCCAGGAGCAAGGAUUGGACAUGGUAUAUUACUCGAUCAUGCUACAGGAGUAGUUGUUGGAGAGACUGCUGUGAUUGGGAACAAUGUGUCAAUCCUGCAUAAUGUGACUUUAGGUGGUACUGGGAAGAUUUCUGGAGACAGGCAUCCAAAGAUUGGUGAUGGGGUUUUGAUUGGGGCUGGGACUUGUAUUUUGGGUAACAUUAGGAUUGGUGAUGGAGCCAAGAUUGGGGCUUGUUCUGUGGUGUUGAAGGACGUGCCACCCAGGACCACUGCUGUUGGUAACCCAGCUAGAUUGGUUGGAGGGAAGCAGAACCCAAUUAAGCUUGACAAGAUUCCCAGUUUUACCAUGGACCACACUUCGCACAUAGCUGAGUGGUCUGAUUAUGUUAUUUAGAUGGCUUUUUUCCUAGUUAGAAUUUGGAAAUUUUGGUUGGUAUUUUGGGAUUUGAGAAUUUGCCUUCUGUUGUAUUUGAGAACCGAAGUUCUCUUAGUGAACAGAGAAGGCUGUGUUCUAAUCCUACCUAGUGAUAAUAUAAUCUUACCUUAGUGUUUUAAUUUUAUUCCAAUUCUGUUGGAUUUGAU
rnacentral:misc_RNA from 1 species